ACUAUACACAGUGCCUGACGUUUCUACCCAGACUGAAUGCCGAGGAGUACGUCUGCAAAGCAGGAUCUUAAAAUUGAUUUCAAUAACAUCGUCAAGGCUUUUCUGUGAAGGACGAGCAGAAAUUGCGCAAGGAAAGUACUCCUGAGAGACAGACCAGGUUUCAAAUGAAAGACCUGCAGGAAAAUGAAGCAUGCUCAUAAAUAUUUUGCUCCCGUUCUGCUUAUCCACAGCAUGUUUCUGCUGGUAGUGCCUGGCAGGUAACCCACGUUUGAGCAGCUCUCCCCAAUCGUCUCCAUAGAUGGAUACAUCCUGGUGGACAGGAGGAGAUGGACAUACUGGAGCGGUCUGACAGUUCUGCUUCCUCUUCAAGAGUGGACUCAAAAUUGUUCUUCUACCUUAGACUACAACCAUAUUUAUUAAAAAUCAUGAUAUAGGUUACUUCUGGUUGUGUUACUUUAGCUUUUCUCUGCCCACAUCUUCAAAUAAAACUGGAGCUCCUAGA